AAAAAAAAAAAAUAAAUAUUGACACUAAUUCAAAAUGUUGAAAUACUGCAUAGGACAAACUAAACACUUUUGUAGACUGUGUUUGGGAUUAUCAAUCUGUAAACCCUGAGGCAGGAAAAUAGACUUUCAGCAUUGGCGCGUUUGGAGUGAGAGGAAAGUAUCCCCGCCUCCUGGGUGUAGACGACUUGACCCGAAGAAUACCAAGCUGAAUCUCUUCCAGCAAUGUGGAUUUGGGUUAAUUAUCUAUAUGCAACCAACGUGGAAGGUCGGGGACUGAAGGUGCCACGUGGGGGCAGCCCAGUGUAAGUAAAAUCAGCAAAGAGAGUCCGAAGUCAGAAGGAAGCAGACAGGCAGAGGGAAGCCAAGACCAGAGA